CCUACGGGAGGCAGCAGUGGGGAAUAUUGCGCAAUGGGCGAAAGCCUGACGCAGCGACGCCGCGUGAGGGAUGAAGGCCUUCGGGUCGUAAACCUCUUUCAGCAGGGAAGAAGCGCAAGUGACGGUACCUGCAGAAGAAGCACCGGCUAACUACGUGCCAGCAGCCGCGGUAAUACGUAGGGUGCAAGCGUUGUCCGGAAUUAUUGGGCGUAAGGAGCUCGUAGGCGGUCUGUCGCGUCUGCUGUGAAAACCUAGGGCUUAACUCUGGGCGUGCAGUGGGUACGGGCAGACUAGAGUGCGGUAGGGGAGACUGGAAUUCCUGGUGUAGCGGUGAAAUGCGCAGAUAUCAGGAGGAACACCGGUGGCGAAGGCGGGUCUCUGGGCCGUAACUGACGCUGAGGAGCGAAAGCAUGGGGAGCGAACAGGAUUAGAUACCCUGGUAGUCCAUGCCGUAAACGUUGGGCGCUAGGUGUGGGGCACAUUCCUACGUGUUCUGUACGCAGCUACGCAUAGCGCCCCGCCGCGGGGAGGUACGGCCGGCGAACGGACGUAAAACCGUUAAAACGGUAAAGUUAGUACGGACGUGAGACGUCGACCGAACGGACGACCGACCGAGGGGAGGUUA
rnacentral:rRNA from 1 species